rnacentral:lncRNA from 1 species
GGGGAAAAAAGGGGGGUACUUCCAGACAACUGAAGUCAUUUAUAUGGACAAAUUCGUUCAUAGAUUAACCCAGUUUCAAUGUACUACAUACAUGUACAUCUGUUACACACUGCAGCAUAAUUAAAUAACUACAGAAAAUGUAAUACUGAGGAGUUUGAGCAACAUGAAAAACAUCAACAAAUGACGGUGUAAAGCCUUCAACCCA